UACGUAGGGGGCUAGCGUUGUCCGGAAUUAUUGGGCGUAAAGAGCUUGUAGGCGGUUUGUCGCGUCUGCUGUGAAAAUCCGGGGCUCAACCCCGGACUUGCAGUGGGUACGGGCAGACUGGAGUGUGGUAGGGGCAGAGGGAAUUUCCGGUGGAGCGGUGAAAUGCAUUGAGAUCGGAAAGAACACCAACGGCGAAAGCACUCUGCUGGGCCGACACUGACACUGAGAGACGAAAGCUAGGGGAGCAAAUGGG
rnacentral:rRNA from 1 species